UCAUCCUUGAUCGUGCGGCAAAUAUGAAACAACAUUUUUUUACCAAAAAUUUUCUCUCUCCUCUCUCUCCUUCGUUUAUCUUCUGAAACUCAAAAACUUUCUCUCUCCUCUUUCCUUUCUCCUUCGUUUAUCUUCUGAAACAUUCUUCUCUACACUAGGCUCAAUCUUCUUCUUGUUUUGCGCAACUUUUUCAUCCUCCAUUGAUAAUUUGAAUAACAUUCAGAAAGCUACCUGUGAGGAAAUUGAAUGUUGAUGAAGUUGUUGUUAUAGUUAUAGAUGCUCCUGAAUUUGAACAUGCGAAUGAAUCAAGGAUUAAUACCCUAUCUAAACUCGGUGAUUUUAACAAAAAAAGAAAGAUGUGUUUGAUGUUGAGGUAAGAGCCACAAGAAGAGGGUUGCUGCUAAUGUGGGGAGGAGAACGUGAAUUAAGAGAAGGCAAAUAGGAAAGAAGAUGCUUGAUUUGGAGAACGAAAGUAAAAAAAAAAAAGUGAAGAGGAUAGGAAAAAAAAACGAGUUUAUCUUUAUGAGCUUAUAAGUUACCCCUAUUUUCAUAAUAGUUACCUUUAUAAGCUUAUAAGUUACCCCUAUUGCCUUGAUAGUUUACCUUUGUAUUUUUUUUUUGAGGGGAAGUUUACCUUUGUAUUUUAAUUAUUAGUUAAGUUUGAAUAAUUAAUAGUUGCUCAUAUUAUGUAAUUAGUUAUCCUUAUCAAUUUAUACUAUAUGAGUAACUUUGUAAAUGAUUAAUGAGUAAUUAUUUAAAGAAAUCUCUAUUUUGUGGA